GAAGAAGAAGCAGAAGAAGGAGCAAAAGAAGCAGAAGAAGAAGAAGAAGGAGGAAAGAGGAGGAGGAAAAUGAGGAGGAGGAGAAGGAGGAGAAGGAGAAGAAGAAGAAUGAGAAGAAGAAGAAGAAGAAGAAGAAGAAGAAGGCUUCAACACAACAUACUUUAUAUUCCAAAUAUUUAAAUUUUGUGAUCUAAUGAUGUGUGGUGCUUCUAGCUUUCUCCCUCUCCAAACAAAGCACCGACCUCUCUGCUUCAUAUGGUUGAAAGGCUGUUUUCCUUUCGACGGCACUUUACUCAGUUUUUUGUUCUCUUUUUAUUAUAUUUUGUCUUUGUGUGUCCUUUCACUUCAUGUGUGAAGGUAUGUAGCUCUUUCUAUCAUGACUAUAUAUCCAUUUUCUCCAUAUAGACACUGGCUUGUGGUGAUUUUGGUUUCUUUUACAAUAGUUUCAAUUUGUGUAAUAUUUCUAGUAUAUUUGAGGCUUUUGACCUCCAUAUCUUAAAAAAAUACAAGGUAUAAAUCAAUUUAUGCAAGAUAGCUAUUACCAGAUAGUGGAGCUAAUAAAAGUAGAAAUUCUUAAAAGAGUUAAAGAAUAAUGGUUAUGCUCUAAGAUACUAUGUGCAUCUAUGGUGGAGAUUUUCUUUUUCUUGAUCUCCCAGUGCAUUGUUGUUUCUCCCCAUUCAUCAAUAAGUGUUCACUAACUCCGCCUUAUUUAUUGUAAUCAAAAGUAUGUAUGCUGAUUUAAGGCCAAUUUACAGUUGCGAUGGCUGUUAAAAUAAGUUAUUUUUACUGUGCAAAUAAAAUAAGCUACUGAUUAAAAAAUCAGCUUGGUAUUUGAUAAAUUGUGUUAGUGUAGUUGUUGUGAGUUU
rnacentral:lncRNA from 1 species